ACCUCUAGUAGCCUGUUUCACUCCAGGCAGCUGCUUCCUGGGUCCAGAGGGUCCAGAGGCUGCUGUGGUGACUCUCCAGCUGGAGAACUGAGUUCCUCAGCCCUGGCUUGCUCAUGGGAAGGUGAGAAGAAGAGCACAUGUGGCCCUUCAGUCUGGGUCAUUUUGGUGCUGGGUCAUCAGCUACAGUGUAAACUGCUUCCUGGAUCAUCAUCAUCACCCUGAUGGCCCACAGCCCUGAGGGACACAGAGGCAGGCAGAUUCUUUACCACUGUGCCACCUGGAAAGCCCAGCAUUAGAAUACAUUAAUUAAUUUGGAGGCUCUUCAUAUUAUGGAAUGCCAUGCAGCAGCAUCUCAUGGUGUGGCCUGGCCCUGGGAGACCCUGAUAUCCUUUCAGGAAAUCUACAAGAGAAUCCCGUGGACAGAGGAGCCUGGCAGCUACAGUCCAUGGGG
ensembl:lncRNA